rnacentral:rRNA from 1 species
GAUGAACGCUGGCGGCGUGCUUAACACAUGCAAGUCGAACGGGAAACCUUUUAUUGAAGCUUCGGCAGAUUUAGCUGGUUUCUAGUGGCGGACGGGUGAGUAACGCGUGGGUAACCUGCCUUAUACAGGGGGAUAACAACCAGAAAUGGUUGCUAAUACCGCAUAAGCGCACAGGACCGCAUGGUCCGGUGUGAAAAACUCCGGUGGUAUAAGAUGGACCCGCGUUGGAUUAGCUAGUUGGCAGGGUAACGGCCUACCAAGGCGACGAUCCAUAGCCGGCCUGAGAGGGUGAACGGCCACAUUGGGACUGAGACACGGCCCAGACUUCUACGGGAGGCAGCAGUGGGGAAUAUUGCACAAUGGGGGAAACCCUGAUGCAGCGACGCCGCGUGAAGGAAGAAGUAUCUCGGUAUGUAAACUUCUAUCAGCAGGGAAGAUAGUGACGGUACCUGACUAAGAAGCCCCGGCUAACUACGUG